AACGAACGCUGGCGGCAGGCUUAACACAUGCAAGUCGAACGCCCCGCAAGGGGAGUGGCAGACGGGUGAGUAACGCGUGGGAACAUACCCUUUCCUGCGGAAUAGCUCCGGGAAACUGGAAUUAAUACCGCAUACGCCCUACGGGGGAAAGAUUUAUCGGGGAAGGAUUGGCCCGCAUUGGAUUAGCUAGUUGGUGGGGUAAAGGCCUACCAAGGCGACGAUCCAUAGCUGGUCUGAGAGGAUGAUCAGCCACAUUGGGACUGAGACGCGGCCCAAACUCCUACGGGAGGCAGCAGUGGGGAAUAUUGGACAAUGGGCGCAAGCCUGAUCCAGCCAUGCCGCGUGAGUGAUGAAGGCCUUAGGGUUGUAAAGCUCUUUCACCGAUGAAGAUAAUGACGGUAGUCGGAGAAGAAGCCCCGGCUAACUUCGUGCCAGCAGCCGCGGUAAUAC
rnacentral:rRNA from 1 species